UACAGGGGUUGCAAGUCGCAUCCACAAUUAUUGGGUCUAAAACAUUCGUAGCUUGCUUUGUAAGUUUCUUGUGAAAUCUCAUGUCUUAAACAUGAGGCGUGCAAGAAAUACUGCAUUGCUAGAGACCGGAAGACGUAAGGAGUAUGAUUGAGGUAGUGGUAAAAUACGUUAAUCUUGAUCAGACUAACAAUGGCGAAGGCACCUUACGAGUACGGAUCUGACGGUGAGGGAUGAAGGCUAGGGGCGCGAAAGG
rnacentral:rRNA from 1 species